CUUCCUCCCUUCCCUCCUUCUUUCUCUCCCUCUCCAAGUUUCCGCUCCUCCCUCCUUGGCGCGAACCGUCCCGUAAACUCCUGCUCGGCGGCGGGGAUGCUAAUUCGGUGCCAAGGCGGAUUGCUCAGCCGGCAUCGCGCUCCCGAAUCGGGAGAGAGAGGAGGAGCAGCCGCCGCCGCAAGGACUGCUGCAGUGUCCUAGGAAGGAAAAACAGCGCCAGCAGCAGCGUCGGCAGGGGCACAGUCCAGCCGGUGGACUGCAAACUGCAAGGAGUAUGAGGCCUGCCUGGAUAUUCAGGCCCUGAAGAGGAAUCGGAAAAUCAACUUGCUUUGAAUCUUCAGGUGCUGGCAGGAACGCCAGCAAAUAAUCCCGAGUGGAAGGCUGACCUCAGGGAGGCUGGUAAAGUGAGGUGA